AGCAGCCGCGGUAAUUCCAGCUCCAAUAGCGUAUAUUAAAGUUGUUGCAGUUAAAAAGCUCGUAGUUGAAUUUCGGGAUCAAUAUGUUGGUCGUGCCUCGGUACGUACUGGCAUUAUUGGUUUCUACCUUCUGAAGAACCUCGAUGUCAUUAAUUUGGUGUCUUGGGGAAUCAGGACUGUUACUUUGAAAAAAUUAGAGUGUUUAAAGCAGGCUCACGCUUGAAUACAUUAGCAUGGAAUAAUGAAAUAGGACGUUUGAUUCUAUUUUGUUGGUUUCUAGGAUUGACGUAAUGAUUAAUAGGGAUAGUUGGGGGCAUUAGUAUUCAAUUGUCAGAGGUGAAAUUCUUGGAUUUAUUGAAGACUGACUACUGCGAAAGCAUUUGCCAAGGAUGUUUUCAUUAAUCAAGAACGAAAGUUAGGGGAUCGAAGACGAUCAGAUACCGUCGUAGUCUUAACCAUAAACUAUGCCGACUAGGGAUCGGAUGAUGUAAUUUUUAAUGACUCA
rnacentral:rRNA from 1 species